UACGGGGGGGGCAAGCGUUGUUCGGAAUUACUGGGCGUAAAGGGCUCGUAGGCGGCCAACUAAGUCGGAUGUGAAAUCCCCAGGCUUAACCUGGGAACUGCAUCCGAUACUGGAUGGCUUGAAUCCGGGAGAGGGAUGCAGAAUUCCAGGUGUAGCGGUGAAAUGCGUAGAUAUUGGGAGGAACACCAGUGGCGAAGGCGGCUCACUGGACCGGAACUGACGCUGAGGCGCGAAAGCGUGGGGAGCAAACAGG
rnacentral:rRNA from 1 species